rnacentral:rRNA from 1 species
UACGUAGGGCGCAAGCGUUAUCCGGAAUUAUUGGGCGUAAAGAGCUCGUAGGCGGUCUGUCACGUCGGCUGUGAAAACCCGAGGCUCAACCUCGGGCCUGCAGUCGAUACGGGCAAACUAGAGUACUGCAGGGGAGACUGGAAUUCCUGGUGUAGCGGUGGAAUGCGCAGAUAUCAGGAGGAACACCGGUGGCGAAGGCGGGUCUCUGGGCAGUAACUGACGCUGAGGAGCGAAAGCGUGGGGAGCGAACAGG